GAUGAAGAACGUAGCGAAAUGCGAUAAGUAAUGCGAAUUGCAGAAUUCAGUGAGUAAUCGAAUCUUUGAACGCACAUUGCGCCCUGUGGUAUUCCGCAGGGCAUGCCUGUUCGAGCGUCAUUUCAACCCUCAAGCCUCGCUUGGUGUUGGGCCCUGCCCGCCGCGGCCGGCCCUAAAGAUAGUGGCGGCGCCGCCUGGCCCUCAGCGUAGUACAGCUCUCGCUCCAGGGUCCGGCGGCAGCCUGCCAGAACCCCCCAACUCUGUGGUUGACCUCGGAUCAGGUAGGGAUACCCGCUGAACUUAAGCAUAUCAAUAAGCGGAGGA
rnacentral:misc_RNA from 1 species